GACUGCGAGAGGAAUCCACGAAGUCCUUACUUGUGGAUUUUGGUGAAGGUUAGCUUGGUCGAAACCCUUCUCUUCUCUGCUGCUGUGUAUUUGGACUGAAUUGUGGAUUUUGAUGUUGAUAGCUUGGAGAUAGCUUGAUUUUGAGACUCGGACAUUUUCAGUCGAUCCAGCAGGUUGUGCCGCAGCCGAGGGAGUUCCGUGCUGCCAGGAAUUGCACUAGAGGUGGGUGUAUCAUCGGUUUCGCUCCUAAGUGCAUGUUUAGUCGACGUGUAUAGUUCGAUUUUUGUAUAUCAUGCUUUAAUUCAUCGAUUAGCAUCUUGAAUGUAAUAUGAAUGUAGAAGCAUGCUGAAAUGAAUAUUUAAAUUAUACAUGUUGGACUUGAAAUUUGACUUAGGAGAAAACCUGCGUUUUGACCCGUCAUAUGCUUAAACUACCAGAUUUAGCUCUAGGAGCCGUGAUUCGAUUGUAUCGUUGCAGUAUCAGUGCGAUGGAUAUCUGGGGUAGUUUAGAAGGCAUUUACGCUCGUGCUGGGGUGCCGAGCUUAUUUUUCAGCAGAGUUUAGGCUGUUUCGGGUCGUUGGGUGCCGUUCGGGUUAGCGGUGGACCCAGAUUCUUGUUUUGGUCACAGAUUGUGCCGAGGGCACGUGGGUUUGGUUUGUAGACCUGUUUUGACCCUGUUCACUUGACUUUGGCUAGUUGGAGCCUGUUUGAGCUCGACAGAGAUACGCUGCAUACUCGGUUGGGUAGCGCCCACGAGUGCCACUCCGGAGUCAGGCUUUGUGCUUUCGCGUUGGUGUCGCUCAUGCCAGUUGGACUUGCUCUCCACGGACCAGUUAGUGUGGAUAGAGCCCGAUAGUCGCAACGGGGCAGGGACGGGUGUAUUCACAGUCCCGGGGACGGGUAUGCUUACAGUCCCGAUUGGAUUGGGUCAGAUUGGACAUUUCCUACAGUUGGUUAGUGUAGAGCAUGAUAGUGUAGUGAUCGAUAGCGGUAGAGUUUAUUUCCUGCUUUUCUGACUACUCUUGCUCCCUUCUGUAGACUUAGUGGGUGGACCGAUGUUGUUUUGGGCGGUACCCACUGAGGACUACUUGUUUUUACAGUAGUUCUCACGCCCAGUUGUUACCCCUGUUUUGCAGAGCCACAGGUUUCGGCUGCUGCGCCUUCCGCGGAUCAAGAUCGAGGCAAGGGCGUCGCGAGUUAGAGCCCUACCCGACGUGCUGAGCUAGAGGUGCCCCUACUGCAGGUAGAUGUUUUGUUUCGAGUUUAUGUACAUAGUGGACCUAACUCGCCAGUGCGAGUAGCUUUGUAUUUUGGAUUUGGACUAUUUAUAUAAAACUCAGUUGGUUUAGUUUCUGCUUUCUCUAGCAGCUCCCUACUACUGUUCGUAGUAGUGUUUGAUUUACAGGUACAGCUAUCGCUUCGUAUACAGGGGAAAUUUCUUUGUAUACGGCGGAUCUGUCGGCGUGCCCGGGGAAAGUGUAAUCCGGGGCGUGACAGAUUAAGUUGGUAUCAGAGCUUUGCUGUAGGUCGUGGGGACCUAGAAAACCUAAGUUUGGCAAACCUUAGGGAAGCAAGACGUGAGAGGCGUAAUUUUAUUGCGAAAGUCAAUGAUUAUUUGUUUUAACUCCUCUUGGAGUAGAGUGAGUGACUGAAGGAGUUUCUAUUUUGGCCUGAGAAAUUAUGUUGGCUGCAGACGACAUAAUUUUGAGGAGAAACAGGGGCCGCCUUCUAGACUUUCGUUUGAUUGGGUCGAGAGUGUUUUGUUUUAUCUGACCCCGAUUUGUUCCUUUCAGCUAUGUAUCGUCGCCGAGGCGACCGUCGUUGCGGGAGCGCGCCCAGUUGGCGCGGGAUCAUGCUGGGCCUUCUGAGAGAUCUGAGCAGAUGGAGCAGAGUACUCGGCAGGAGCAGGGUGACAGACUGGAGGCAAGUGCACCCCUGUUGUGGAGCCGAGUGUGCGACCUGAGACUAGCGUACCCCCUGAUCUGAGUCCACAGUUGGCUGCCCUGACUGAGGUGACGAGACAGCAGGGGGAGCUAUUGCAGAGGUUGUGUGAGAGGAUAGCUCAGCCACCGAGUUCUGUACCGAGGGCACCAGAGUCGCCAGUUCCACCCCCGACUACUCCAGUGACAGCACCAGCUGCAGCAGUUCCUCCAUCGGCAGCAGUUCCAGUAGCGCCAGUUGCGCCUGCUAGGGGGCCAGUACCGUUGACUGAGGCCGAGCAGGAGCGGUGGACGGAGAGGUUAGCUCGUUUUCGCCGAUUUGAUCCACCGAUCUUCGAUGGCAGAGGCACUGAGGCCUGGAUUGUUGAGGGAUGGGUCAGUGCGAUGGAGAAGUUAUUCGAGGAUCUGUUCGUUCCAGAGGGGGAGCAGGUACCCCUGGGAGUACACUGUCUAGCAGGUGAUGCUCAUGACUGGUGGCGGAGGACGAGGCGAGACCAGGGGCUAGUGGCGGCGCAGCUGAGUUGGGACGAGUUCUGUGGAAUGCUGUUUGGGAUGUUCUUUCCCAACAGUGUGAAGCAGAAGCUCGAGGAGGAUUUGAGGAGGCUUCAGCAGGGAGAUCGCCCAGUGCAGGAGUACGUUCGGGAGUUUACUCGACUCCUGAACUGUGUACCAUUUGCGGCCAGAGACGAGGCGCACAGAGUAUACAUGUUCGAGCAGGGGCUGAGACCGGACAUCUUCAGGUUAGUGCGGGCGCAGAGGUCGAGGACCCUGGAUGCGUCCAUAGAGCAGGCCCUAUGGGUGGAGAGAGGUGAGGUGUCGCUGCAGGAGAGGACUCAGGCCGUGGGGCAGGGUCAGGACAGGAAGCGCCCCUUUCCAGAUGACGGAGGGCAGUCGAGCAGCAGACGUCCGCCGAGACCUCCACGAUCACGUUCUCAGGGUCGUGGGUCUUCGGGGCGUCAGCGUUCCAGGGGAUCCCGUCAGCAGGGGCAGACUCAGAGGACGCCACAGUGUGUGAUCUGCGGGGGACCACACUGGCCUCGGCAGUGCGAGCAGAGAGAGGGCAGGUGCUACGGAUGUGGUCAGCCGGGACACAUGAGGGCAGCUUGUCCCCGAGCAGCAUCUCCAGCACCGUCAUCAGCUUCGGCACCACCAGCACCACAGCAGUCUUACGGAGCAGCACCGAGCUACCGCCAGGAGGACAGAUCGUCUGUGCCGCGGUCGAGUGAGCGGCGACAGCAGGCUCCGAGUGGCAGGGUCUAUGCAGCUCAGGUGGAGGACUCUUCAGCAGCCGACCGAGUGGUGGCAGGUAUCACUUUGAUUUCUGGCAUUAGAGUUCGCACUCUUUUUGAUACCGGUGCAUCGCAUUCCUUUGUUAGCCGAGCAUUUGCAUUGUUGCAUGGUCUAGAGUUAGGAGCGUUGUCUCAGGCACGAGAGGUGCAGAUCCCCGACCAUGUCUUGCAGGUUACAGAGUGUUGUUGGUCCUGUCCGGUGCAGUUAGACUCUUGGAUCAUGCCCGCAGACCUGUUGGUGUUAGGGCAGCUGCAGGACUUCGACGUAGUGCUCGGUAUGGAUUGGCUGGCGCGGUACUAUGCUACGAUCGACUGUGGAGCGAGGACGGUGACGUUCCGCGAGCCAGGCCAGGAGGAGUUUACUUUCAGAGGCUGCAGGAGCACGCUGUUUGCCACCUGGAUAUCUUCGGCGAGGGCUCGACAGAUGCUGAGCAGUGGGUGUAUCGCUUUCCUAGCGACAGUUGUGGAGGUACCUACGGCGGCGCCGAGACUCGAGGACAUCCCAGUAGUCCGCGAGUUUUCGGAUGUGUUUCCCCCUGAGUUGACGACAUUGCCGCCGGAGAGGGAGAUUGAGUUUGUGAUUGAUGUAGUUCCUGGAACUGCACCAAUCUCAAAGGUACCUUACAGGAUGGCACCGGCAGAGCUGAGAGAGCUAAAGGCGCAACUUCAGGAUCUGAUGGAUAGAGGGUUUGUGAGACCCAGUGUGUCGCCUUGGGGAGCGCCGGUGUUAUUUGUAAAGAAGAAGGAUGGUUCGCUCAGGUUAUGUGUGGAUUACCGGGAGCUGAAUAAAGUGACCAUCAAGAACAAGUAUCCUCUGCCGCGCAUUGAUGAUCUAUUCGAUCAGCUGCAAGGAUCUUGUGUCUUUUCGAAGAUUGAUCUCCAGUCAGGUUACCACCAGCUGAGGGUGAGGGCCGAGGAUGUUCCCAAGACGGCUUUUCGGACUCGGUACGGGCAUUAUGAGUUCACGGUGAUGCCUUUUGGAUUGACGAAUGCCCCUGCCGCAUUCAUGGAUUUGAUGAACAGAGUGUUCAAGCCGUUCUUGGAUAGGUUUGUGGUAGUCUUCAUCGACGAUAUCCUGAUUUACUCCCGGAGUGAUGCUGAGCAUGAGGAGCACUUGAGGAUUGUGCUACAGCUUCUGCGCGAGAAGAAGUUGUAUGCCAAGUUAAAGAAGUGCGAGUUCUGGCUACGGGAGGUUGCUUUCUUGGGCCACGUGAUUUCAGCUGAGGGCGUAGCAGUGGACCCGAAGAAGAUUGAGGCGAUUCGAGAUUGGCCUAGACCGACGACGGUUACUGAGGUACGGAGCUUCCUGGGACUGGCAGGAUAUUACCGUCGGUUUGUGGAAGGCUUUGCGAAGCUUUCCACACCCCUCACGCGCUUGACGCGGAAGGGGAUUCGUUUUGUCUGGAGCGACGACUGUCAGAGGAGCUUUGACGAGUUGAGAUUGAGGUUGAUGUCGGCUCCUAUCCUUGCCCUUCCUGUUAUGGGCGAAGGAUUUGUGAUCUACAGUGAUGCAUCGCACAGUGGACUUGGUUGCGUGCUGAUGCAGCAUGGUAGGGUGAUUGCUUAUGCUUCACGGCAGUUAAAGGAUUAUGAGAAGAAUUACCCUACGCAUGACUUGGAGCUUGCCGCGGUGGUUUUUGCUUUGAAGCUCUGGCGGCAUUACUUGUACGGCGAGCACUGCGAGAUUUUUACUGAUCAUAAAAGUCUCAAGUAUCUGUUCACCCAAAAGGAGUUGAAUUUGAGACAGCGCCGGUGGUUGGAGUUGCUGAAGGAUUAUGACAUCAGUAUCCAGUAUCAUCCCGGCAAGGCGAAUGUGGUGGCAGAUGCGUUGAGCAGGAAGGCAGUGCAGAGCUUGAGUAUGUUGAUCACUCGGCAGAGACCGUUACUCGAGGAGCUGAGACGGCUGGGACUCGAGGUAGUGUCCCCUGGAUUUACUGCGAGAUUGAUGUCUAUGAUCUUGCAGCCCACUCUGUUAGAUAGGAUUCGAGAGAAACAGAGUGGGGAUCCACACUUGUCGAGGAUUCGAGAGCAGCUUGAGAGGGGACAGGCCGAGGGCUUUGUUGUGGACAGUUCGGGAGUACUGCGGUACAGGGACCGACUGUGUGUACCUAUGGAUUCAGAGAUCCGAGAGGACAUCUUGAGAGAGGCUCACUGUUCACCUUAUACGGUUCACCCCGGUGGAACCAAAAUGUAUAAGGAUUUAAAGGCUCAGUUUUGGUGGAAUGGAAUGAAGAGGGACAUUGGUAGAUUUGUGGCUCAGUGUCUGACUUGUCAACAGGUAAAGGCCGAGCAUCAGGUACCUGCUGGCAAGCUUCAGAGUCUACCAGUGCCCGAGUGGAAAUGGGAGCAGAUCACGAUGGACUUUGUCGUCGGAUUGCCGAGAGCACAGGGUGGUUUUGAUGCGAUUUGGGUGAUAGUGGACAGACUGACCAAGUCUGCUCACUUCUUACCAGUGCAGACCACUUGGUCCAGAGAGAGACUCGCUCAGUUGUACUUGGAUGAGAUAGUGAGGUUGCAUGGCGUGCCCACUUCGAUAGUAUCCGACCGGGACCCGAGGUUCGUAUCGCACUUCUGGAGGAGUCUUCAGACGGCCUUGGGCACUCAGUUGCAGUUCAGCACAGCAUUUCACCCACAGACAGAUGGUCAGUCAGAGCGGACCAUUCAGACUCUAGAGGACAUGCUGAGGGCAUGUGUCUUGGACUUUGGAGGAGGGUGGUAUCGGCAUUUGAGACUGGUUGAGUUUGCGUACAACAACAGCUAUCAAGCGAGCAUCCAGAUGGCUCCGUUUGAGGCGUUGUAUGGACGCAGAUGUCGAUCCCCUUUGUUUUGGAGUGAUGUGGGUGAGAGGAGGACGCUUGGGCCUGAGAUUCUGAUUGAGGCUGAGGAAAAGGUAAAAGAGGCGCGACGGCACAUAUUAGCAGCCCAGAGUCGACAGAGGAGCUAUGCUGAUACCCGGAGACGAGACUUGGAGUUCCAGGUGGGAGAUCAUGUUUUUCUUAAAGUCUCGCCGUCCAGAGGGAUUCGCCGAUUUGGUGUACGUGGAAAGCUCAGUCCACGUUUUGUAGGCCCUUUCGAGGUAUUGGAGCGAGUCGGGCCAGUUGCUUACAGGAUUGCUCUACCACCACGGCUAGCCGGCAUUCAUGAUGUGUUCCACGUCUCGGCUUUGAGGAAAUAUGUGUUCGACCCCUCCCACGUGAUCGACUUCACUCCGCUUGAGAUUGGCGAGGACCUGAGCUACGAGGAGCGACCGGUGCGGAUUCUGGCUCGUGAGUCGAGGGAAUUGCGCAACCGGGUCAUACCCUUUGUAAAGGUGCAGUGGAGUAAUCACGAGGAGCGGGAGGCGACUUGGGAGCCGGAGGCGAUGAUGAAGGAGUCCUACCCCUACCUGUUUGAGGCCCUGGAUUGAGGUAUGUGUACAGUUUCGCGGACGAAACUUUUUGUAGUGGGGGAGGAUGUAGUGUUCCUGAGCUUUGGAUAGGAUUGGCUUCAGUAUUAUAGACUGGUCGACAUCUCUGGAGAGUGUCGGACUGAGUCGGAGUCAAUUCUGCACGAAUUGGAUGCAGAAUUGGACUCGGCGCACUCAAAUAAGCAAAACUGGAGUUUUGCCAGAUUCGGGCGCCCAGAACAUUGUUAGGGUCGCCCAGAAACGAGUGUUGAUUUUAACUGAAACUGGAAGCCAAUUCGGAUCCCAUGUUCCGGGCGCCCAGAAGUGGGUCCAGAAAUUUCACCUCGUGAAUAUCGCUUGCUUCGACGCGUGGCAGGGCGGUAGGUGAGUUCCGCCGGUGCCGUUUACGGGCGCAGCACACCGCGGGCGGAGAGUCCGAGGGGCCCAUUUUGUGCAGGCCGGAUGUUCUGGUCGCCCAGAACAUGGUUCCGGGCGCCCAGAAACGCCCGUUUCUGCAGGGGCACUGGAUUGCGGCUAUUUUUCCUGGGGCUUAUCUGAUCUAUCCAGCAGCCUAUAAAUAGCUGAGAAGCGCCCCCUUUGAGCUCUUUUACCUGUUCUUCACAGAGGACUUAGAUUUUACUCCCAAAUCCCUCAAAUCUUUCCAAUUUGCAUCAAGAUCCACCUCUCCAAGAAUUGCAAGGUGCUGAUUUUGCAGUUCUUCAGCGACGACCUCCAGUGUUUUGGCUCGUGCGUGACGUAGGAAGGUCGGAUUUCAACGAAACUUGGUUUGCUGGAUUCUUGACUUCCAGAGGAAUCCACGAAGCCCUAAUUUGCAGAAUUUGGUGAAGGUUAGCUCAGUCGAACUCAGGUUUUCCUCUGCUGUUGUUGCUUUGGACAGAAUUUGCCAAUUUUUGAUGUUUUCUUGGGGUGAACUUGGGAAGCAGGGGCUUUGUGGAGUUGAGUUAUUUUCCCUAUCACCCAGUACUGGAAUUGGGACCCUCUCCACCUGAUUUGGAGUUCGUUUGGUGAGUUUUGACAUUGGAAUUGAGAUAUUUAAGCUUAAAUGCUGUUUUGCUGAAAUUCAUCGUCGACUGUUAGUAUUUCAGCUCGUACUCGACGUAGGAGCAUCGGAUUUCGUCGAGACUUGAUUCGUUGGUUUCGGGACUGCGAGAAGAAUCCACGAAGUCCUUACUUGUGGAUUUUGGUGAAGGUUAGCUUGGUCGAAACCCUUCUCUUCUCUGCUGCUGUGUACUUGGACUGAAUUGUGGAUUUUGAUGAUUUUUAUUGGAUUUUUGGGUGCAUUGUAAAUCCAGAUCUUAAGGGGCUUUGUUGCUGGUUUGAAGAGGUUUCCAGCAGUGUUGCUUGAGGAUCCGAGACCCUAUUGCUGCCAGGAAUUGCAUUAGAGGUGGGUGUUUCAUCGGUUUCGCUCCUAAGUGCAUGUUAGUCAACGUGUAUAGUUCGAGUGUUGUAAAUCAUGCUUUAAUUCAUCGAUUAGCAUUUUGAAUGUAAUAUGAAUGUAGAAGCAUGCUGAAAUGAAUAUUUAAAUUAUACAUGUUGGACUUGAAAUUUGACUUAGGAGAAAACCUGCGUUUUGACCCGUCAUAUGCUUAAACUACCAGAUUUAGCUCUAGGAGCCGUGUUCGAUUGUAUCGUUGCCGAGUCAGUGCAAUGGAUACCUUGGGUAGUUUAGAAUGUAUUUACACUCGUGCUGGUUCGCCGAGUGAAUUUUUGCAGGGUCGUUCAGGCCGUUUCGGACUGUUGGGUGCCGUCAGAGUUGACGGUGGACCGUAUCGCCUUUUUGGCGUCAGAUUGUGCCGAGGGCACGUUACCUGUUGGUUGUUAGACCAGUUUAAGUCGAUUACUUGACUUUGGCUAGUUGGAGCCUGAUUGAGCUCGACAGAGAUACGCUGCAUACUCGGUUGGGUAGCGCCCACGAGUGCCACUCCGGAGUCAGGCUUGUGCUUUUGCGUUGGUGUCGCUCAUGCCAGUUGGACUUGCUCUCCACGGACCAGUUAGUGUGGAUAGAGCCCGAUAGUCGCAACGGGGCAGGGACGGGUGUGUUCACAGUCCCAGGGACGGGUAUGUCUACAGUCCCGAUUGGAUUGGGUCAGAUUUGACAUUUCCUACAGUUGGUUAGUGUAGAGCAUGAUAGUAUAGUGAUUUGUAGCGGUUGAGUUUGUUUCCUGCUUUUCCUACUAUUCUUGCUCCCUCCUGUAGACUUAGUGGGUGGACCGAUGUUGUUUUGGGCGGUACCCACUGAGGACUACUUGUUUUUAUAGUAGUUCUCACGCCCAG
rnacentral:lncRNA from 1 species